GACGUAGGGCGCGAGCGUUGUCCGGAUUUAUUGGGCGUAAAGAGCUCGUAGGCGGCUUGUCGCGUCGUCCGUGAAAACUUGGGGCUCAACCCCAAGCUUGCGGUCGAUACGGGCAGGCUCGAGUUCGGUAGGGGAGACUGGAAUUCCUGGUGUAGCGGUGAAAUGCGCAGAUAUCAGGAGGAACACCGGUGGCGAAGGCGGCAUCCUGGACCGAGAUUGACGCUGAGGCGCGAAAGCUAGGGGAGCAAACGGG
rnacentral:rRNA from 1 species